AAGAAAACAAAGGAUUUUUCGAUUUCUGAGUAAGACCAUGGCCACUGAGUAGAAAUAUUUCUCUGUGUAUAUGUUAUAAACAGACUGUACCACCGACGCAUUGCAAAGCAGCAGCCAUUGUUGGCCGGAUAAAAUUAAUUGCGCAGUUGUGGAUUUCUGUCACUUUUCUGUUUUUCUUAAAAGUUUUGAUCAAAUUCAGUGCACUAAAAAGAUUUAAGUAUCUCCAUAGCCGGCAGCAAUUUGAUGAAGACUUCAGGAGGAUAAUCCGCAAUCGUGUUUUUCCCGGAGGACAUACGAGAUUUGCCGUAUUAUUUUAAGCGUUAUGUGGCCGGCAAAUUUUUUGCUUUUUUCUACACCGUGUAUUUUAAAUGGGUGCUGGGUACCCGGGUACCCUGCCGGCCACAUAAGGGUUAAUGGAGAACCGUGCUACAUAUAUUCGGAAAACAAAGUGUUAAACACAAUGUUGAAUGCUAAAAGUUCAUCUGUGAGAAUUUUGAUAUUUUUGUUCAUUAUAAAUGUGAUGAUCAAAAAUAAAUAAAGUAAUGAAAAACUACACUACAUUCAUUGUUUUGAAUAUUAUUAGCAUCUUGGACAACUUAAAUUACAUUUUUUUAGAACAGCUCCGAACCGCAUAUUAAAUCGCAUGCAUAACAAACAAAAUGCAAUCUCUAUUUCAUUCCAAUAUCGAAAAAUAUGCAUUCGAGUCGAAAAAGAUUUCAUUUCAUUUCCAUUUUGCAGCAUUUGGUGGGGCAAUGAGAGCACAAGUCAGUCCAAAGCCGAUGAUAAGGAGGGGUAGUCUUUGCUGACCACAUAAACGCCAUGGGAUAGGAAAAAGGUAUUUUGGUGUGGGAUUAGGGUGUUGGUACAGCCUUGACAAUAUCAAUGCUAUUCUGAUGCAGGCUUGUCCGCACUGAGCGCAUGAAAAUUCUGCUCUUUCGAUUUACACUGAUAGAAGGAUGUCUGAAUAUCCUAAAUGUCAUUUCGAAUUGUCAAAAAAUCGCACCGCAGUGCCGCACUGAGCGUGCAAAGAGAAAUUCACUGGGGUGAAUUCACCCGGGUGAAAUUCUCUUUGCGCGCACAGUGUGACACUACGGUGCAAUUUUUUGACAGUUCAAAAUGACAUUUAGGAUAUUCAGACAUCCUUCUAUCAGGUGAGAUAGGAAGAUUCCAUAAAUACGAUGGUUUUGGUGGUGUAAAUCAAAAGAGCAGAAUUUUCAUGCACUCAGUGCGGACAAGCCUGUUCAGAUGCAAAAUAAUUUUAAGGCUCAAUAGUGAAUCGCAUAGCUUCCAAAUUGUAAUUGUAAUUGUAAUUGCUCAGUCCACACCCAGGCCGACAACUGUCAGCCCAUCUGCUUGUAGGCAGAUGUGGACCUACUAAGCCUCCCCCGUUAACAUGUCCUACACCGAAUUAGCACACCGGGAUCUUCCACAGGCAGGCGCUGGCGUUACCAGUCCCAACAAGUGUCAGAUACAUUAAAUAGAUGGGGUAGAGGAUAUAGGAAGAUGUGGGAAUAGGAUGGGAAGAGGCAGAAAAUGAAGAGAUAGUAGAGAGGUUUCGAUUUUGUUGCUGAAACGAGAAAAAGAAAGAAUGAUAAAGAACAUUUUAGUGAUAUGUUCAUAGAUUAUGAUUUGGUCGAUAAUUUCUCAUCUAUUUUGUUUCCAUAUCGUUGCAUCGGUGACCAUUUUCAUCGCCUUUCUAGUUUUUGUUAGGGCCAUCUCGCGUUUUUUCGUCAUGUCCUCUUUGCCGGUUGGCGACGUUCGGGAUGUAAGUAGAAAAGCAUGCAUUUAAUAUGAUUAAUACGACAGUAAUUGUGAUUGCUCAGUACUUCCAGCCCAUUUGUCCGCAGUAUAUAUCAGGCAUCCCGUUUUAACAAGUCCUACACAGAAUUAGAAACCCGGAUAUCCCACAGGGCCCAUAUAGCCGGAGGCGGUAAACGCACGGGUAUUCAGCAUGACCAUGCUGAGGGUGACGGGUUCGAUUCCCGGUCGGUCCAGGAUCUUUUCGUAAAGGAAAUUUCCUUGACUUCCUUGGGCAUAGAGUAUUUUCGUGCCUGCCACACGAUAUACGCAUGCAAAAUGGUCAUUGGCAGAGGAAGCUCUCAGUUAAUGUCUGUGGAAGUGCUCAUAGAACACUUGAGAAGCAGGCUUUGUCCCAAUGAGGACGUUACGCCAAGAAGAGAGAGAGAGAGAGAGAGAGAGAGAGAGAGAGAGAGAGAGAGAGAGAGAGAGAGAGAGAGAGAGAGAGAGAGAGAGAGAGAGAGAGAGAGAUCCCACAGACAGUCCUAACUAGUGUCAGAUAAGUUCAAUUGAAGAUAGGGAACGUUCAAAAAUUACGUCCAACAUUUGGGGGAGGGGGGGGUCUAGAAAAGUGUGACAGUACGUGUAUUGGGUAUAGGAAAAUUGCGUGACAGAGGGGGGAGGGGGGGUCUAGAAAUCCCGAAAAACGAUGGACGUAAUUUUUGAAUCUUCCCAUAGGAAGCGGCAAAAUGAGAAGACAGUAGAGAAGGUUUGGUACAUUGGUAGCUGUGUUCAUGUGAUGUUUGUCUGACAUUGAAAAACUAUUUUCCGUAAGUGUUUAACUCUCUACUCCAAAUGUCUGAUCAGAUGUAUAGUUUGGCAAUUCUAUGUCCAUACAUCUUUUAUCAAGAAGGAAUAAUGUUGUUUACUGUUAAUGCAUUGUAAUCCAGAAUAAACCUACAGAAAAUGUCCCAAUAAAAAGUUAACACUAGUUCAACUAACUACACAAACUAAAAAGUGUUAUUAUAUUUUACCAAUGAUUUCAUCCUAAUCUUGACCCUAACAUAGUUAUGCGCUUAGUGUAAGUGGACGCCGCUUUUGGUUGGACAAUGACAGAGACGCCUGGUCCACAUGUUCGACCUGUUCUUGGAACGGGUAUAGGCUGAUAAUAGAACUCGUAAAAUAAUCUUUAAGCAGAUAUACCUUAAGAAUAAACUAAAUUUAAAACUCCCACCGCACAUACCCCAUAACAACUUGCACACAAGGCGCAAACAUCGUUCUCGGUUUAUGAAGAACGAAAGACGACUUCAAAGGACAUCCACUGGCAGAAACCAUAACAAGAGCAUGCGAGAGCCAGCCUUGCGCAGCUCUCUCUUGCUCGACUCUUCGAAACUACAGGCCACCGGUUCCCCGAUUCAUGCGAACGAUGGAUACUGUUCCCAAACCAACUGUUUCCUCAUUUUUUUGCCUCCGAAUAGUGCCAUUUACACUUACACAAUACACAACUUACAAUACACAAUACUUACACAAUAAAUUGAUUCAACCAAGAGGUUCAAUCCUUCCUUCAACUUCAUCAAGAAACACAAAUUGAUAGAAAUAGGGUAGGGCGGGGCAAGAUGAGCACCCUAAGGAUCACGUUGAGUUUAUUGAAAGUUAACACAAUUUUUCAAAGUACCUCUCAGUACUUCUUUUCUAUAUCUUGUUUUCUAUCACCCAUAAACAUGGGAGGGUUCAAAAUUCACAAUAAGGAUGAUUUAUUUGACUAAACAAAAAAGAUGUUUUAUGGUCAGUUCGAACAUGCUACGGGGUAAGACGAGCACCCCUACGGGGCAAGAAGAGCACUUCAUUUAAAUCCCAAUAUUUUAACAAUAAAUUGGUCAUACACUGAUUGAUAUAGUGAACCUUGUGUAUAGCUAUGGUAUCACGUUCUAAAAUUAUCAUUUUUUUCGAUUAUUGAAAAAAAAAAAUGCGGUUUUAUAAUACUUUAUACAAAAUGACCCGAAAAACAAUAAACGAUUAUUAGGUUGCUUAUUUUUAGAAAUUUACUCAACAAAUAGUUGCAGAGGUUACGGAAACCAAUGUUCGGCACUAUUAAGUGGAUUACAAUAAUUUCAAAAUAUUUUCUAUAUUACCAUCAGGGGUGCUCAUCUUGCCCCACUAUAGGUUAAUAACUAAAAUUGAAUAAAUUUUCAAGUAUGUUUUUAGAAAAUAUUUUCUAAUGUAAAUUAAAAUGCUUUGCAGUAAGCUAGUAAUGUUGGCUGAUAACUAUAAUUAUGGUGAAAAUUUGAUUCUGACAUAAAAACCUUAUUUUAUUCUAAUGAUUUCUUAUAAGAAAAUGCUAAAAAUCCAUGCUAUCGACUUAUUUGACGAUAUUUUUUAAUUCGUUCAUUAUGAAGUACCUUUUAUUAGGUUUACAAACAGGAUGAACAUUAUUUUAACGGAUUAUGAAGUUGUUUGGGCAAAAUUCACCAUAAAAGUAGUAAAACUGAGGGGUGCUCAUUUUGCCCCGGGUGGCCAUCUUGCCCCGUCCUACCCUAUUGCUAAAUGUAUUGCUUGCAUUUUUAUUGCGAAGAAGAUGGAUGAUAAUGUUGAAUCUUGAUAUAAAUACUGACCAACCUGCAAAAGCGAGAUUGAGGUUGGUGUUUAUAUCUUCAAUAAUUUCCCCUCCGAAAGAUUGAUCCAACCACCGCUAUCAUCCAGUUUGACCAAACCAUCAAGAUCAUCCAAAUCCGUCAAACUUUCCCCUUGAGUUGUUUUAUUCGAUCAAUCCAGCAGGGUAAAAGAGUCAGCAGAUUGAGCGAAGACCAUUCCAUCAGUGAGGAAGAGAUAGCAAUUCACCAACAUUCAGCGCGUGGUUCACGGCGUUCAUGGUGGCCAGCUCAAUUGAAUUUUAUGGAAUGCUUUGAAAAAAUAUUUUUAGAAAUAAAGUGUCACGUUUUUGCAUUGUAAAUAAAAUAAAGACUUGAUCAUUAGAAAAGUGCAAAUUUCUAUAUUUCACUUGCUUAUUCAAUUCCAUUAAUGAUUAUGAAAAAAAAAUAAUGUUUUGAUAAUUCUGGUUAUUUACCACGCCAUAUUCGAUUUUUUGUAAGCAUUCAUAAACUCUUAUUUAUUGAACCCAAUCUCUCGGAUGAGUAUGAUGAAUUGGUAAAUAGUGGAUCUAUUUAUUAAUUCAUCAUGCUAUUUUUCCUAAUGUCUUGAGAAGGUUAAUGUUUUUUUUAAAUUUCUAACACAAGUUAUGAACUUCUACCGGUGAACCAAAAUAUAUCAUACAAAAUGGAGCUUAAACAAUAAGUAUGAACAGUUAGGUUCGAACUUCAACAUGUAAAUUUGGAAAUCAAAUCUAAGGGGCUUUUCCCUCUUACAAAAUUUAAAGUUAACCGUAGUGUGGCCAGCAAAAAAAACACCCGUAGAAGGCCGGCAGGGUACCCGGGUACCCACGAAAUGGAAAUGAUUAUAUCUCAGCGAUUUUUCCACCGAUUUUAAAAGUUUUUGCCUCAUUCAACUCAGAAACUCAUUAUCUAUCGAGAUCGUAUUUGGUUGGACCGGUCCGAUCACCAUGGGUACCGGAAAAUCCGGAUUUACGGAUCCAUGUUUUUAUACAAUACAAUAUACGGGAUUUUCGGUAGGUUAGUAGCAAUUUCGGUACCAAGCAUCGUAAAAUUGCUUUGGCAUAUUGUAUCUGACUGGCCUGGAAUCAUAAAACGUGUUGACUUUGAAACUGUGAUUUCGGAACACGCUUCUCGUGGGGCCAUGGUUGACCAUAAACAUCCUAGUCUUAACAAUGUGGGUUUCAAUAUGGUAUAAGGACAUGCUCCCAAAAAUAUGGAUUUUCCCAAAACCACGGUGAUUAGAUCGGUCUAACCAAAUAUUUUCCCGAUAGAUGAUGAGUUUCUGAGUUGAAUGAGCUAAAAAUUUCCAAAAUCUAUGCAAAAUUGACGGAGAUAUGAUCAUUUCAAUUUCGUGGGUACACGGGUACCCUGCCGGCCUUCCACGUAAUAAAAAAAUGCAGGAGCCCCUCCCCCUGCCCCUGCUUACUUUAAAAUUCGGUCAACCCCAUUAAUAGAUGUAUAUUCACGAGUUCUAAGAUCUAACAGAGUUCCAACAUCCUAGUUUCAACAACCAUUAAAAUGUCGAGAUUUGAAAUUGAAAAAGGUACCCGGGUACCCUGCCGGCCACAUGUGUUAAAAAUAAAUAAAUAAUUAAAUAAUAGUUAGGUUCGAACAAGUUUUGGUUUUUGCUAAUGUCAUAGUCAUAGUAAAUAUGUAAAGCAGUAGAGGUUUGGAAAACAAAGGCUGAUAUGAGGUUAUUGCCAUAUUGAUUUGGUUGUUUCGGCUAUAAUUGAAAAUGUUUGCUUUAUCCGUUAUUAACAGGUUUAUCUAUAGCUACAUUGAUUACUGAACGAUGAUUAAAUUAUAUGCCUUGAGAGUGACUUUGAGUAUUAUUGGCAGUGUUUCUCUCUUUGCCAUAAGAGUUUUUUGUCGUCCAAAUAGCUUGAAACUUAGUUGUAAACAGUUUGAUUGGCAAAAAUGUGACGCCAACUUUCAGUUUAUCAGACUUUAGAUAACACCCCAUGACGAAGAGAACAAAGCUGUCGAAAAUAUACUGAGUUUUGUAGCAUUUUAUACUAAAGGCACUAGAAAAUCGCAUAUGCGUUAGUGGAAAUUAAAGAUGUGAUAUAAAACAUGAUGAACCAAUGUUAAAUAUUAAACAUUAUUCCUAAAUAAUCUAAUGAAAAUUGACGAUGCGCAACAUGUGCUUGAAAAUGUUUAUUUGGCAGCGCUUUCUUGUUUCCUUUAUUCCACCAUUCCAUCAAGUAUUUCUUUCUCAAGGAUUAUUGAUUAAAUCACGAGGAUCAAACCAAGUAGGGUAGUGGAGGUAUUUUGGACCGGGCAGGUAUUUUGGCCCACCUUGGGAGUUUUAUGAUAUUUAUCACAUAAUCUCUACUAAAUCUUGGUAAUUUUUUACUGGAACACGAAAAGUAUUCAAUUAUGUGAUGACCUUUAUUUUGGAUGUCAGUUAAAUAUGCUCUUCAGUAUCAAAAAUAGAGAAAAUGUUUUCACUUUCAAUGAAACGCACGGAAAAGCACCAAAAACAAAGAAGGUGACAAAUUUGUAGUCGGCAUCGAAGAGGUAUUAAAUUUUACAAAUAAAUAUUUAUUUCAUGUGAAUGUAGUUAGGGCCUAGUAAGAACUCAACAUAAACUGUUCUUAACCUCGGUGGAGCGAUAAUAUUUACUAAAAUAGUGGUUUGAGGUAUGGCCAAAAUAUGUUCAACAUAAUCAGAUGUGGACAUAUUUUGGACCACCUGUCAGAUCCAUCUCUCCAGUUCCUUCUAAAGGGAGAAAAUAUUCAUGCCAAUGUAAUGUACUCUAAAAACAGAUAAAUAGAAUAAGUUGGGACCUCCCGUGAUCUGGGUUGUUAUACGUUUAUUUUACAAUGAGAUUGUUGUGGGUUCGAUUUGUUCUAACAACUUUUUGCCAAUUUAAAAAUUUGGAUUCGAUUUGUGUCCUAACAACUAGUCGACAAGUUGAAAUUUUCAGGUGUUUAGUCAUCCAGUUUAGAAAAGUUGUCCUUCUUGGCAAUCAGUUGAUGACUGAGACAAUGUGUUAUCUAAUGUAUGUUUGGCAAUUUAGGUAUAAUUCAAAUUACUUUAUUUUUGAUGGCCUUCCACUCAUUACAAUAUGUGUGGAACGUCUUUAUAUUUAGCAAAAUCACUAGACUUCCACACUUCCUAUUAAGCGUUACAUUUAUACAUGGUGACUGACGUCAUGCAAUAGUUAAUAAAUACACGUUUUGCGUCACAUUUUUUUAUGAAACAUCAUACAACAAUGCGUAAAAACUGGCAAUUACAACAAAAUAUCAUCAUUUUUUACCGUUACGUAAUUUUUAAACGUUCCCUGCCUCAAAAAAUGAAUAGAAAAGAUGUAAACUUCACGUAGUUUCAACUAUUUUUAAAUUUUUGCUGUGGUGGCUUUCAUUUCAUGAAUCAAUUGAAGUUUAAUUCGGUGGGCCAAAAUAUGUGCACUUGGUGGUCCAAAAUAAAAUCAGGUGGUCCAAAAUAGAAGCCCGAGAACCUUCAGGAGUUUUGAUAUUUCUUGUAUUUACUACAACAAUUUUGAGUUCUGUUUGGCCUUUUUCGACAGAAAACAUGUCACUCUACGUAAUGCCUACUGAAAUUAUCCAUAUUUUGAAGUAGGAACCUUCUUUUUUCGCUGAAUCGUUCAUCCACUUCCUAAAGGGGUCCAAAAUACCUCCCUUACCCUAUCAAUCCAAUAUCUUUCACGAGAGAUAGAUCAAGCCGAGGCUCGAGCAGAGAGAAAAUCUCCCGGCAGUAUGAGAGAAGUUAAUGCAUAAAGAGAAAAAAAAACAAGUGUCCGUGCAUGCUUAUCAAACGUGCACAGCUAGCAAAGCAAAGCCUUUUAUGGAAUCAAUGCGUCGUCGGUGGGUGUGUGGUUGAUUUUCAGUCCUACCGAUCCCAAUGCCCAAUGUAUACAAUGCAUUUCUGUCACAUUUUUAUUUAUGUUUUUAAUGAAUUUUCUAUUCACAUUAAUUCUUCUAAGCUUUACCAUUUUUACAUAUGUAAUCAAACAUUUUACAUAUUUUUUAUUACGAAAAGUUUUUGGACAGCCCAUGGGAUGGGACUCGAAACACCAUCAGUGCCGUAUUGCUGAAUUACCUUUAUAUUUCGACAUUACACAAAAUUACCACAGAAGGGUGUUCUUUGUCAGAAGGGGGCAUUUCUAAUUUAUAGGCAACGCAGCUAAGCAUGUUACCGCCCUAAUGUGCAAAUUAUUAAUUAACUGGUGUUAGAAACCGCCAGUGCACCAGUAAUUUUUAGCAAAGUUCGGUGGGACACCAACCGAGUUAUAAGAUUACACAAAAAAUGUUGUGAACUGUUUAUUGCUGACUGCACGCCAAGUUGGACUGACACAAUAGUGUGCACACACCUUCAAAGUGUGAUUGCAGCGCAGGGAUACGUCGGAUCGAAUUGAGGUCUUCGGUGCACUUAUUCCUUGUAAAUGGAGGAAUAUUUAAGUGCACCGAAGACGUCGAGACGAUCCGAGGCAAAUGUGCACUUUUAUCACACUUUUUAGGCGUACCAAAAAAAGUGUGAUAGUCCAAUUUGAGAUGUAGUCUGCAAUAUUAUCACUAAUGCAUUGUAAUCGUUGGGUUCAUUACAUUUAGCUCUGCAUAAACUUAUAUAAACUUUGCAUAAAUUUACUACAUUACUUCUGCAUAAAUUGUUUUUUUUUUUUGUUCGAUGAUUUAUUACAUCUGAAUUCAGUUUUUUUGUAUAAUAUAUUUAGCUAUUGAAAUUUAUUUAAAUUUAAAUUUAAAUUUUAUAUUUAAAAAAAAUACGGCAACACGGCAGAAUGCACUGCAAUGAUGACGCUCUCGUUCACGCGCUGCUGCAUUGAAAGAAUGAUAGGUUGAUCUGGAGGGAAAAUAUUGAACCAAUCAAUUGAUCCAUGGAUUAAUUUGACCCAUGGUUUGAACAAUCUUCGAGAGGAUUGAUUUUUUUUUUUUUUUUUUUGAAGAGUGACCAGGUGGAGCUGCAGGACAGCUGAUAGCAAAGCCUGGACCCUUUCCCAACUUUCCCCCUACUAGGACCAAUACUCACGAUGGACUAGACGAUGUCGUCAACUUGAGCAAAGUGUGUAGUAAUUAGCAUUGGGUCGUAGUAGUUUUUUAAAAAUUCUGUUUUUAACUUUUCCCAUCGCACUAGUGUUUUGAUCGAAUGGAAGCUCCAACAGGGUGUCUACUCAAUUAUGAAAAUGAAAUUCCCUGAUAUUUCCAGGAUUUUUCCAGGUUUUUGAAAAUAAUUCCAGGUUCAAGAAACUUUAACAAAUCGACUAAACUAAACAUGUUUUCAGAUUUCUAGAAAUUCGUGGAAACGCAACUUUUUGGGUAAAUUUACAGUUCCAGCUAUAAUGACAUUUAAGGAGAACAUUCCACCAGCAUUUAGGACGGAAGCACGAGCUGAUUUUCUGAUGAAAUUCCUAAUACAAUCCUAGCGAUACUUUAGGAGAAUUUUCUGCACAAUAGGCUCCUAAAGGCCUAUCUCAAUUUCUGCAUAAUUCGAUCAAGCAUUGAUUAAACCGACAUGUUUACUCAUUUUUUAAGUAUUCCUAUUAGGUAAAGCCCAUAAAAUAUAUUUUCCAAAAUUUUAAUAAUUUUUGCAACACUCCUUGUUUAACACUCAAUUUUGGGUAAAUUUUGUUUACCGUGUAUGUCAAGCAGGAACAUUUGUUGUCAAAAGUGAGCCAAUGUGGUGUCUUUUGCAACCCGCCGUUUCACUUUCGUUACGUCAAGGUUGACCUCGAAUGUCAAACAAGACUUGCUCAUCAUUAUUUUAUUUUCGAGUUUAUUAACUAUUCUGUUAUUGUUCAAGUUCGGAAAAAUUACCAUUGAGAUCAGAAAACCAAGCUCUUUCGUGUUAUGCACCAAAAGCGGGAAAAUAUUUUUCAUUUUAGAACCCUAUUUAAUUAAAAUUUUGUUUAUGAAUUUCUGAAGGAAUUUAGCAAGGAAAACAACAAGAAAUUACACUAUAUUUUUAUAAAAGUUAAUCUUCGCUGUUCCAGCAGAAAUCUUCCGAGUAGUUCCGAGCAAACUUUCUUAAAUAUUGUCGGAAAUUUAAAAAAUUGCAGCUAACGCUUUUAAACAAAUUCUCCAAGAAACCCUUCACGCAGAGCUUCAGUUAUUGCACACGAAGACCUUCGUUGCUUUCGCAAAAGAUUCGCUCAAGUAUGUAUUUUUCAGGAAUUUCACUAGAUUCUUCUUUGAAGCGAUUCCUCCUUUUGUAGAAAUUGCUAGCAACAAUGUUAGAUAUGUUUAUAGGACUUCAGUCAGAAAAUCCUAACAGAGUUUCAAAAGAAUUGACUUCAAACAAUACUGCCAGUUAAACUUGAUUUUUUUUAAUGUCCACAUAAAUUCAACUAGAGGAAUUCUGAAUUUCAUCAGUAUUUUUUAAUUCUUUUCACCACAACAAAUUUGAACGAUUAUUUUACGUCAAAAGAUCAUUUUUAUCAAAAGUAUAUGAACAAAUAUUGUUACAGAUGGACUAUUUUUAAAAUUAAUAGAAAAAAAUGAUGUAAUUCAAUAGUUUUGAUUGUCAAUAGUUUCGAUUUUGAUACAAGAAAUUGGCAACUAGAAUAUACUAACAAGUUGGCAAUCAUGUUCCAAAACUAUUGCAUUACGUUCAUCGGAAAUAGUUUCUCUCAAGUUCGUUAAAAUAUGUUGAGCUCAGAAGCAACUAUGGGAAAGAAAGAGAUAAACAUUCUUUCAAACAUUGUUUAGAAUUAUUUAUUAAUUGUUCUAAAAACGUUUCAGAAAUGGUCAGAAAAAUGAUUAGAAAUUCUUCCAGAAGCCAUCUUGUUAAUUUCGCUAGAAAUACUAACAUUGAAUCCACCAGGAGUUCCAACUGAUCAAUAAUAUUCUGCGGGAGUUUCAAGAACUACGCUCAAAAUGUAUCUUUUAGUUCCUUCAGAUAUUUUCCAACAUCUACACUGCCCCCAUUCGCAAAACAGUCCCAUAUGAAUAGGAAACCCUGCAAAGAUGGGACUGUUAUGCGAGUAACGGCAGUACUGGCGAUUGCGAAUUUGUUAGGCAAACUUCAAUAAAUUUUACAAUAUUUUACGCUGCAAUAGGUUGAAAGAUUUGAGAAUUCAAAAUCCUAACAAUAAAAGCAUGUCGACUCAGUUUUCCGAAAUAGGUCAACUAUAAAAUAGGAGAUUGCUGUGGAAAAAGUACAAGUUAGUUUAAACGUCAAGGGUAAUGAAUAUCUGAUAAAUAAUAUUUAAGGAGCGGGUAGGUAGUAGCGGCGCAGCCAAAAUUUUUAUUCGCUUUAAGGCAUUUCUAACUGAAAAUUUGUUUUAAAAUGAUAAACACAGAAAUUCCCUGAUUGUCAUCAGAAUUCCCUGAGAAUUCCAGGAUUUUUCCAGGCCGAGUAAAAUUCCCUGAUAAUUCCAGGUUUUCCAGGUUUUUCCAGGUAGUAGACACCCUGUCCAAAGAUGAUUUGAUAAUUGAACAAUAUUUCAAUAAUCGAAAAUCUCCGAGGUCACUGGACAACAUUCAGAGAGAAAAAAAGCUGUACAUGUUAGCGCCUUUGUCAUAGCUAAUGUUUACAGGUUUGAUAUUUUUGAAAAUUAUUCGGAGACAGCUGCCAGAGCUAGCGUUUUUAGCCGAUAUGGGCAACUAGUUUUCUGAUAGCAUCUCUAAACAAUAAAUCAAAUAAUAACCUAAGUUUUUUACAAUACAUUCUGAAAAUUAUUUCAAGCUGAUUACCAAUAGUGUCAAUAACCGAUGUUGGUCAUUGACAGCACCAGCAUCAUCCCCAAAUAAUUCUCAUAUUAGUGUUAGGUAACACUUUUUGAGCUUCCAUUCGAUGUUGUAAUGAAAUCAGUCAAACCCUAUACGUCGAAAUAUAGUCUAUAAUGUGUCCAAUUGCGUUCUUAAUUUCAUCUAGUCGUCUUCUGCAUAUCUGUGAUCAUCUAAGUCCGAAGUAUUAUUACAUGCACCGUAACCCUUUAGAUUGUCAACCGUCCUAAGUCCUAAAAAAACAUGUAACAAAAUUCCUGCUUUUUUGGUCAGUGUUAUAAUACCGUCUAGAAUAUAAAACAAAAAAGUUCAGUCAGCUGAUUUUUGUGUCAAAAAUUAAAAUGAUUAAGAUUAUUUGUCAACUUCUAUAUAUACAUCCCUACAAAACCUAUAAAAAGAAGAAAUACAAAUAUAAACUCAUUUCUAAAAUCAGCAGUUUUGACUGAUUAGGGUCCAGAAUUUUCUAAAGGUAAUAAAUUUAGUUGUUAACGUUACCUAAUCUGUAAGGCUGUAAGUCAACUUAUCCUAGCGUGUUCUUUCGAAUUCAAGUGAUGAAUGAUGAGUGUAACGCAGAGACCUCCCCUACCCACUCUUGCGUUACGUUAAAUUCAACAAUUAUUGUUAAAUUUGAGAAAAUUUAAAGAAUGCAAAGAUUAGGUCUAUGCAAGCUGAAUUAUAACUUGUGAUAAAUGCACUACGGAUACUCCUUUGGUUCCCAUUAGCACUUACGGCAGAUUCCUUCACUUGCGCUCAACUCGUAAACCAGAUAUAUCUAGCUCAAAGUCCAAGCAGUGGAGAAUAAACUGGCGCAAAAAUGCUAAUGGGUUAAGCCCUCCCAUCGCGUCAAGAUUGAAUAUCCAGGGGGAGGGAACAAUCUUCGAGAGGAUUGAUGUAACAAUUUUGAAGGUGGGGAAAUAUUGUAGAGAAAAUUGAAGAAAAAUGCGCUAUGGAGGGGAAAUAUUGCUGUGUGGUUGAUCAAACGGAAGAUAGGGGAAAAGUUGAAUGAUUGAUGUCAAUCUAUUUUUGAACAAUAUUAUACAUUCAAUUUUUCCAUAAAACGGCCAACUAUUGAUCAAUAUAUGCACCGUGUGACUGGCGCUAAUGGCAGUGUUCAUUCGAAUUCAUUUCACUUUACUCUGUCGCUCAUACGUUCCCUACUCGUCUAGAACCAGCAGCAGCGUUGUCAACGUUCCUUUCCAUUUUUCACUUCCCGCGCUUCCCGCCUUCUUCUCACGCUACACGCACGCUAAGCGCAAUCGACUAAAGUCUUUGAAAUCAUGUUAACAAUUUACAGUUUUAGAGUGCUAUAAAAUGUAUGUUGUAUCGUUGUUGGGAAUUAAAGGAUUAUUUAAUAAUAUCUACAAAAUAUAUGGAAUAACGAACAUUGAUUGCACAGUAUUUAAAUACUUCUUUGCCAACUAUGCUUAUCGAUCACGUUCUCAAAUGUGUGUAAAUGAUUGUUAGCACGCUGCUUGGUAUACUCUUUAGAGAAAAAAAACGAUGGAUAUGAAAGGCACACAGCUAAACGCAAAGAGCUUCUUCAGUGGAAAGUUUACAUGUGUGUACACGCAGAACUCGAUGUACACAGCGCAACGAGUAACUUUCACGCAGCGACCGA